GACGAACGCUGGCGGCGUGCUUAACACAUGCAAGUCGAACGAUGAAGAAGAGAAACGCGAACUUCGGUUCAAAUUUCACUUCGGAUUAGUGGCAGACGGGUGAGUAACGCGUGAGCAACCUACCUCUUACAAAGGGAUAGCCUCGGGAAACCGUGAUUAAUACCAUAUGACACAUUCAUAAGGCAUCUUAAGAAUGUUAAAGCUACGGCGGUAAGAGAUGGGCUCGCGUCCCAUUAGCUAGUUGGUGAGGUAACGGCCCACCAAGGCGACGAUGGGUAACCGGCCUGAGAGGGUGAAUGGUCACAUUGGAACUGAGACACGGUCCAAACUCCUACGGGAGGCAGCAGUGGGGAAUAUUGCACAAUGGAGGGAACUCUGAUGCAGCGACGCCGCGUGAGCGAUGAAGGAAUUCGUUUCGUAAAGCUCUGUUCUAUGGGAAGAAAAGGACUGUACCAUAGGAGAAAGCCCCGGCUAAAUACGUG
rnacentral:rRNA from 1 species